AGCGAACGCUGGCGGCAGGCCUAACACAUGCAAGUCGAACGAGACCUUCGGGUCUAGUGGCGGACGGGUGAGUAACACGUGGGAACGUGCCUUUAGGUUCGGAAUAACUCAGGGAAACUUGUGCUAAUACCGAAUGUGCCCUUCGGGGGAAAGAUUUAUCGCCUUUAGAGCGGCCCGCGUCUGAUUAGCUAGUUGGUGAGGUAAUGGCUCACCAAGGCUACGAUCAGUAGCUGGUCUGAGAGGAUGAUCAGCCACAUUGGGACUGAGACACGGCCCAAACUCCUACGGGAGGCAGCAGUGGGGAAUCUUGCGCAAUGGGCGAAAGCCUGACGCAGCCAUGCCGCGUGUAUGAUGAAGGUCUUAGGAUUGUAAAAUACUUUCGCCGGUGAAGAUAAUGACUGUAGCCGGAGAAGAAGCCCCGGCUAACUUCGUGCCAGCCGCCGCCGUAAAAC
rnacentral:rRNA from 1 species